rnacentral:rRNA from 1 species
AGAAUCAACGCUGGCGGCGUGCCUAACACAUGCAAGUCGAACGAGAAAGUGGAGCAAUCCAUGAGUACAGUGGCGUACGGGUGAGUAACACGUGACUACCUACCCUCGAGUGGGGAAUAACCUCGGGAAACCGGGGCUAAUACCGCAUAACAUCUACGGAUCAAAUGCGUAAGCAGCUUGAGGAGGGGGUCGCGGCCGAUUAGCUAGUUGGUGAGGUAAUGGCUCACCAAGGCAAUGAUCGGUAGCCGGCCUGAGAGGGCGCACGGCCACACUGGAACUGAAACACGGUCCAGACUCCUACGGGAGGCAGCAGUGGGGAAUUUUGCGCAAUGGGGGAAACCCUGACGCAGCAACGCCGCGUGGAGGAUGAAGCCCCGUUGGGUGUAAACUCCUUUCGAUCGGGACGAUUAUGACGGUACCGGAUGAAGAAGCACCGGCUAACUCUGUGCCAGCAGCCGC